rnacentral:rRNA from 1 species
UUAAGCUAUAAAGAGCAUAGGGUGGAUGCCUAGGCACUGAGAGCCGAUGAAGGACGUGAUAAGCUGCGAAAAGCCACGGGGAGGAGCAAAUAUCCAUUGAGCCGUGGAUGUCCGAAUGGGGGAACCCACUUGAGCAAACCUCAAGUACUGUUAAGCCAAUACAUAACUUAACAGAGGGAACCCGGGGAACUGAAACAUCUAAGUACCCGGAGGAAGAGAAAGAAACAUCGAUUUCCUUAGUAGCGGCGAGCGAAAGGGAAAGAGCCCAAACCGAGAGAUUUAUCUUUCGGGGUUAGGACUGCAUAAUUGAUUUGCGAUUGAUAGGAGAAUGGUCUGGGAAGUCCAGCAAAAGAGCGUGAAAGCCGCGUAUCCGAAAUUGAAAGCAACAUGGCAGUAUCCAGAGUACCACGAGACACGAGGAACCUUGUGGGAAUGAGCGGAGACCACUCCGUAAGGCUAAAUACUACUCAGUGACCGAUAGCGCAUAGUACUGUGAAGGAAAGGUGAAAAGGACCCCGGGAGGGGAGUGAAAGAGAACCUGAAACCCUGUGUUUACAAGCUGUCGGAGCACGUUAAGUGCGACGGCGUACUUUUUGUAGAACGGUCCGGCGAGUUAUGAUACGCGGUAAGGUUAAGGACUUAAGGUCCGGAGCCGAAGCGAAAGCGAGUGUUAAUAGCACGAAGAAUCACGUAUCAUAGACCCGAAACCGGGUGAUCUAUCCAUGUCCAGGAUGAAGCUGCCGUAAGAGGUAGUGGAGGUCCGAACACACAUCCGUUGAAAAGGGUGGUGAUGAGGUGUGGAUAGGGGAGAAAUUCCAAUCGAACCCGGAGAUAGCUGGUUCUCCUCGAAAUAGCUUUAGGGCUAGCCUUCAGUUAGUCUGCCGCAGGUAGAGCACUGAAUUUCCUAGGGGGCGUCAAAGCCUACCGAAGAAUAUCAAACUGCGAAUGGCGGACAGAUGAUGCUGGGGAGUCAGACUGCACGAGAUAAGUUGGGUGGUCAAAAGGGAAAGAGCCCAGACCUACAGCUAAGGUCCCAAAGUGCGUGUUAAGUGGAAAAGGAUGUGGGAUUUCGAAGACAACUAGGAUGUUGGCUCAGAAGCAGCCAUACAUUCAAAGAGUGCGUAAUAGCUCACUAGUCGAGAGGUCCUGCGCCGAAAAUGUCCGGGGCUGAAACACGACACCGAAGCACAGGAUACCGCAAGGUAUGGUAGAGGAGCAUUGCUGGCGCGAUGAAGCAGUACCGGAAGGAGCUGUGGAGUGCCAGGAAGAGAGAAUGCCGGAAUGAGUAGCGAGAGAGAGGUGGGAAUCCUCUCGGCCGAAUAUCCAAGGUUUCCAGGGUAAAGCUGAUCUGCCCUGGGUAAGUCGGGGCCUAAGGAGAGGCAGAAAUGCGUAUCCGAUGGACAGCAGGUUGAGAUUCCUGCACUAUCUUAAAACAGAACUGUGGGGACAUUUGUGGAGAGCACAGGCGCGGAACGGAAAGCCGCGUGCAAGCGAAGGAGGAGUCACAUAGGAAAAACCGUGUGGCAAUCCAGAGGCGUGAUGCGGACCGAAUGAAAGUAGGGAAGUGUGUGAGCCAUGAAUCAAGAAAAGCCGCUAUUGUUUUUAAGAUACCCGUACCGUAAACCGACACAGGUGGAUGAGGAGAGAAUCCUAAGGCCGGCGGAAGAAGCAUUGUUAAGGAACUCGGCAAAAUGACCCCGUAACUUCGGGAGAAGGGGUGCCAACGAGAGUUGGCCGCAGAGAAUAGGCUCAAGCAACUGUUUAGCAAAAACACAGGUCUAUGCAAAACCGUAAGGUGAGGUAUAUGGGCUGACGCCUGCCCGGUGCUGGAAGGUUAAGAGGAGGGGUUAGCGCAAGCGAAGCUCUGAAUUGAAGCCCCAGUAAACGGCGGCCGUAACUAUAACGGUCCUAAGGUAGCGAAAUUCCUUGUCGGGUAAGUUCC